AUUGAACGCUGGCGGCAGGCCUAACACACGCAAGUCGAGUGAGCGGCGGACGGGUGAGAAAUGUAACGGGACUGUCCGAUACAGGGGUAUAUCUACUGGCAACGGUAGCUAAUAACGUAUACUCUCAGACAACCCCUACGUGAUUAGCUAGUAGUAGAGGGAAUGGCUCACCUAGGCGACGAUCCCUAGCUGGUCUGAGAGGAUGAUCAGCCACACUGGGACUGAGACACGGCCCAGACUCCUACGGAGGCAGCAGUGGGGAAUAUUGCACAAUGGGCGAAAGCCUGAUGCAGCCAUGCCGCGUGUAUGAAGAAGGCCCUAGGGUUGUAAAGUACUUUCAGUCGGGAGGCGUUACCGACAGAAGAAGCACCGGCUAACUCCGUGCCAGCAGCCGCGGUAAUUC
rnacentral:rRNA from 1 species